AUUGGCAGAUGAUGAUAAAUCAGUUUUAUGCUUAACACUCUGAUUUAACCGUGGUGAUUAUAAACUCCGCUUAUUAUCUGAUGCCUAU
rfam:Helianthus annuus linkage group 2, whole genome shotgun sequence.